UAUGAAGGGGGCUAGCGUUGUUCGGAUUUACUGGGCGUAAAGCGCACGUAGGCGGAUCGAUCAGUCAGGGGUGAAAUCCCAGAGCUCAACUCUGGAACUGCCUUUGAUACUGUCGAUCUGGAGUAUGGAAGAGGUGAGUGGAAUUCCGAGUGUAGAGGUGAAAUUCGUAGAUAUUCGGAGGAACACCAGUGGCGAAGGCGGCUCACUGGUCCAUUACUGACGCUGAGGUGCGAAAGCGUGGGGAGCAAACAGG
rnacentral:rRNA from 1 species